CUGUGAUAUAACCGCCAGGCUGCAGGUAAAGCUUGUGGGCCACUCAGCCAAUGCCCAGAGAUGGAAAUUCCCAGCUCCUAUCAAUGAGGCUCCUCCACUGAGUCCAAGCAUCCAGACGGUCCAGCUCAAUCUUCUCCAGGAUAACAUCCCUGCCUUCGGCCAGAAUUUGUAGCAGUCUCAUGGCCCCGCACACCCAGCAACAUGAGUU